rnacentral:tRNA from 1 species
CCGGUAGCUCAGCGGCUAGAGCGUAUGGCUACGGUCAUAGGGUCGGUGGUUCGAGUCCACUCCGGU